rnacentral:rRNA from 1 species
UACGAAGGGUGCAAGCGUUACUCGGAAUUACUGGGCGUAAAGCGUGCGUAGGUGGUCGUUUAAGUCUGUUGUGAAAGCCCUGGGCUCAACCUGGGAACUGCAGUGGAAACUGGACGACUAGAGUGUGGUAGAGGGUAGCGGAAGUUCCCGGUGUAGCAGUGAAAUGCGUAGAGAUCGGGAGGAACAUCCAUGGCGAAGGCAGCUACCUGGACCAACACUGACACUGAGGCACGAAAGCGUGGGGAGCAAACAGG